rnacentral:lncRNA from 1 species
CAGUACGUUUUCUUCUCCCCACAUCUUAGUGUAGCAUCAGAAAAUUCUUUUUGGAGAUAUACAUUUCCUUUUUUUCUUCAAGGAAAAUGUUGGUAAAAUACUGGGGUUCAUUAGUAUUGAUUUAUUUUAGUAAUCUUGAACUCUUUUUUUAAGUGGGAAAAUGAAGAAGUUAUUAAAAGGAAAAAAACGCUCUGGUUUCAAUGCUGUUUCUGAGUUAUUGUAAUUAUCAGUAUUGGAAGUAAAUUUUAUAAAACUGUUUUCUCUGAAACCAGUGAAGUGUGAAAGAAAUAAAAUGAAAACAGUUUCUUCCUCUCCUACAAAUCCCUGAG